rnacentral:rRNA from 1 species
GAUGAACGCUGGCGGCGUGCCUAAUACAUGCAAGUCGAACGCACAGCGAAAGGUGCUUGCACCUUUCAAGUGAGUGGCGAACGGGUGAGUAACACGUGGAUAACCUACCUCAAGGUUGGGGAUAACAUUUGGAAACAGAUGCUAAUACCGAAUAAAACUUAGUAUCGCAUGAUACCAGGUUAAAAGGCGCUAUGGCGUCACCUAGAGAUGGAUCCGCGGUGCAUUAGUUAGUUGGUGGGGUAAAGGCUUACCAAGACAAUGAUGCAUAGCCGAGUUGAGAGACUGAUCGGCCACAUUGGGACUGAGACACGGCCCAAACUCCUACGGGAGGCUGCAGUAGGGAAUCUUCCACAAUGGGCGAAAGCCUGAUGGAGCAACGCCGCGUGUGUGAUGAAGGCUUUCGGGUCGUAAAGCACUGUUGUAUGGGAAGAACAGCUAGAGUAGGGAAUGACUUUAGUUUGACGGUACCAUACCAGAAAGGGACGGCUAAAUACGUGCCAGCAGCCGCGGUAAUACGUAUGUCCCGAGCGUUAUCCGGAUUUAUUGGGCGUAAAGCGAGCGCAGACGGUUAAUUAAGUCUGAUGUGAAAGCCCGGAGCUCAACUCCGGAAAGGCAUUGGAAACUGGUUAACUUGAGUGCAGUAGAGGUAAGUGGAACUCCAUGUGUAGCGGUGGAAUGCGUAGAUAUAUGGAAGAACACCAGCGGCGAAGGCGGCUUACUGGACUGUAACUGACGUUGAGGCUCGAAAGUGUGGGUAGCAAACAGGAUUAGAUACCCUGGUAGUCCACACCGUAAACGAUGAACACUAGGUGUUAGGAGGUUUCCGCCUCUUAAUGCCGAA